rnacentral:sRNA from 1 species
UACCUAACCAUAACCCUACACGUGUCC